rnacentral:lncRNA from 1 species
UCGCAAGCAUGGAUGAAGGAAACAAAUAAGAGAGAGCAUUACGUCAUGCAGCCAGCCUUGGCAAGCAAACGCUCCGUGAAGCCACAGCGGUGGCCCAUCA